CAGAGGGGGAGGCACCAGGAGCCUUUCACUUAGAGAUGACGAAGGGAGAAGGAAAAGACCCAUCCAGAAUCCAAUUAUGUUAACUCAUCUCUGCUAUUGAUCCUACAUUCCAGGCCUGGGAAAAAACCCCAAAACCUAAUUACUGCACCGCUAAUGACUGAGAUGACAAAUCGAGGAGCCUCCAGGCUGCUGAUGAUGUUGGAGCCAGUUGAUUCCAGAGGUUCUCGUUCUGAGGAAGGGUAUUUGCUGGCCUCUUCUCCCAAGCCCAGAGAAAGACAGCAGGCUUUCCAUGGAAAAGACGCCAAUGAAAUCAGUUAGGGCCCCUGUCUUCCGGAAGCCUUGGGAGGUGGUGCUGGCCAUCUGCGGCUGUUGUCCUGAGCACCUCUGGAGAGGCAGCUGGAGUGACAGCCAUAUCGCCGCUGCGAUCUGCUGAUAUAAUUACAUAGAGAAUGCAUUUAAUGCUUCAGUGGGCA
rnacentral:lncRNA from 1 species